AUUGAACGCUGGCGGCAGGCCUAACACAUGCAAGUCGAACGGUAGCACAGAGGAGCUUGCUCCUUGGGUGACGAGUGGCGGACGGGUGAGUAAUGUCUGGGAAACUGCCCGAUGGAGGGGGAUAACUACUGGAAACGGUAGCUAAUACCGCAUAACGUCGCAAGACCAAAGAGGGGGACCUUCGGGCCUCUUGCCAUCGGAUGUGCCCAGAUGGGAUUAGCUAGUAGGUGGGGUAACGGCUCACCUAGGCGACGAUCCCUAGCUGGUCUGAGAGGAUGACCAGCCACACUGGAACUGAGACACGGUCCAGACUCCUACGGGAGGCAGCAGUGGGGAAUAUUGGACAAUGGGCGCAAGCCUGAUCCAGCCAUACCGCGUGGGUGAAGAAGGCCUUCGGGUUGUAAAGCCCUUU
rnacentral:rRNA from 1 species